CAAUUAAGUGUAAACGGUGGAUGCCUAGACACAAGAAGCCGAUGAAGGACGUUGUAGGGUGCGAAAAGUCUCGGUGAGGUCCCAAACAACCUUUGACCCGGGAAUGUCCGAAUGGGGAAACCCGCUAUGGUGGAAGACCAUAGCAUCAUAUACUGAAUACAUAGGUAUAUGACGGUAAGCUGGCGAAUUGAAACAUCUUAGUAGCCAGAGGAAAAGAGAGAAACACGCACGAUCUUUUACUAGCCAUUUUCAUGAGCGGCUGGUAAAAGUAUCGUGUUCUAUUCCGCUAGUAGCGGCGAGCGAAAACGGAUCAGCUAAAACCUAAUUAACUUAAGCAGAAUGAUAAUUCCCUUCGGGGAAGAGGAUUUUUGUGGAAGGCUUUGCGGCCAUAUGUUGAUUAUGGGGUUGUGAGAAUAUUAUAUUUUAAAAGCGCAAACUUUUAUAAAGAGUUAAAAUUAACUUCCCUAGUAGAAUCUACUGGAAAGUAGGACCAGAGAAGGUGAUAGUCCUGUAUGCAAAAGGGGUUAAUACUCUUAUAAUAUUUCUCGAGUACCACGGAACUCGUGAAAUUCCGUGGGAAUCAAGCGCGACUAUGCGCUAAAGCUAAAUACUUCUUGUGAUCGAUAGUGAACUAGUACCGUGAGGGAAAGGUGAAAAGCACCCCUUUUAGGGGGAUGAAAUAGUAUCUGAAACCGUUUACUUACAAAGAGCUGGAGCCCUCCUUCGCUUUUCGCUUCGCGCAAAAGCUACGGAGGGGCUUCGCCCUGCAUAUAAUUAUGUAUGGGGCGUAGCCCCACCGUAGCCCGAAGCGGAGCGUAGGGCGAAGGUGGGUGACAGUGUUCCUAUUGAAGAAUGAGCCAACGAGUUUAUAUAUACUGCAGCUUAAGCUCCUAUGGAGUGAAGGCACAGGGAAACCAAGUCUUAACCGGCGUAUGACUUUAUUACAUUGCCCUUUUUGGGCAGUGUAAUUGAGUCAAGGUAGUAUGUAUAAGACCCGAAGCCGAGUGAGCUAGCCAUGGGCAGGGUGAUAUCGCCGUAAUAAGCGGAGGAAGCCCGAACCCACUUGUCGUAUAACGCAAGGGGAUGACCUGUGGUUAGAGGAGAAAUUCCAAUCGAACUCGGCAAUAGCUGGUUCUCCUCGAAAUAGUUUUAGGACUAGCUGUUUGUAUACCCGCGGGGGUAGAGCACUGAAUGGGAUGGGGUGACUUUUGUCUACCUAUCCUAACCAAACUCCGAAUACCGCGGUUUUCAGCAAACAAGUCAGACCAUGGGGGCGAAGCUCCAUUGGUCAAAAGGGAUACAGCCCAGAUCGUCAUCUAAGGUCCCCAAAUUAUGGUUAAGUGGUAAAGGUGGUGUUAGGACUCAUACAACUAGGAGGUUGGCUUAGAAGCAGCCAUCCUUUAAAGAAAGCGUAAUAGCUCACUAGUCCAGUCCUUUCGUGCCGAAAAUUUAACGGGGCUAAACCAUAUACCGAAGAUACGAACUAAUCAUUUUUAAUGAUUAUUGGUAGAGGAGCAUUCCAGUGGCGUUGAAGCGUACACCGUGAGGUGGCGUGGAGCAGCUGGAAGCGAGAAUGUUGGCAUAAGUAGCAAGAAGGCAGGCGAAAACCCUGCCCGCCGAAAAUUCAAGGUUUCCUGGGCAACGAUAAUCGACCCAGGGUUAGGCGAUCCUAAGCCGAGGCCGAAAGGCGUAGGCGAUGGAAGAGACGGUUAAUAUUCCGUCCCUAGUAAUUGUUUGUUUUAUAGUGACGCAGCGUUAACUGCUUGAACGUCCUUUUGGAUUGGGACGUUUGCUUUCAGGUUUGGUUUACGCCAGAUCAGUUAGUGAGAAGAAAAAACCUUCGGGUGGAUUCAAUUCAGGCGUGCGUGCUGCCUAGAAAAACUAUAAAACGUUAAGCUUUUACUAUCCGUACCGUAAACCAACACAGGUGAAUAGGUCGAGAAGACCAAGGCGUACAAGAUAACCCUCGUUAAGGAACUCGGCAAAAAAGCGGCCGUAAGUUCGCAAUAAGGCCUGCCCGGCAUCUGCCGGGCCGCAGCUAAAGAUUUCAGGCGACUGUUUACCAAAAACACAGGUCCCUGCUAAACCGUAAGGUGACGUAUAGGGGCUGAUGCCUGGCCAGUGUCCGAACGUUAAGGGGAGAGGUGCAAGCCUUGAUCCGAAGCGCGGAUGAACGCCAGCGGUAACUAUAACCGUUCUAAGGUAGCGAAAUUCCUUGUCGGGUAAGUUCCGACCUGCACGAAUGGCAUAACGAUCUGAAAACUGUCUCAACGAGGGACUUGGCGAAAUUGCAAGAUGAGUGAAGAUGCUCAUUACCCAUGGUUAGACGAAAAGACCCCGUGAAGCUUUACUAUAACUUGAUAUUGGUAUAUAGAUUUUUAUGUUUAGAAUAGGUGGGAAACUUUGAAGCUUGAGCGCUAGCUCAAGUGGAGUUACCAGUGAAAUACCACCCUUAAAACUUUGUAUAUCUAACUUUGCGCCGUUAGCCGGCCAAAGAACAGUAUCUGGUGGGUAGUUUGACUGGGGCGGUGGCCUCCUAAAAUGUAACGGAGGCGUUUACAAAGGUUGACUAGCGCUGGAUGGAAAUCAGCGCGAUAGGGCAAACCCAAAAGUCAGCUUUACUGCAAGGGCAACAACCCGAGCAGUUGCGAAAGCAGAAGUUAGUGAUCCGACCGUACGAUAUAGGACGGCGGAAGCUCAACGGAUAAAAGUUACUCCGGGGAUAACAGGCUGAUCUCCCCCAAGAGCUCACAUCGACGGGGAGGUUUGGCACCUCGAUGUCGGCUCAUCGCAUCCUGGGGCUGAAGAAGGUCCCAAGGGUCCGGCUGUUCGCCGGUUAAAGCGG
rnacentral:rRNA from 1 species